rnacentral:rRNA from 1 species
UACGUAGGGGCCGAGCGUUGUCCGGAGUUACUGGGCGUAAAGCGCGCGCAGGCGGCUCGUCAAGCCUGACGUGAAAGCCCCCGGCUCAACCGGGGAGGGUCGUCGGGGACUGGCGGGCUUGAGGUCGGCAGGGGUUGGUGGAAUUCCCGGUGUAGUGGUGAAAUGCGUAGAGAUCGGGAGGAACACCCGUGGCGAAGGCGGCCAACUGGGCCGAACCUGACGCUGAGGCGCGAAGGCGUGGGGAGCGAACGGG